rnacentral:rRNA from 1 species
AUUGAACGCUGGCGGCAGGCUUAACACAUGCAAGUCGAACGGUAACAUAAAGAAGCUUGCUUCUUUGAUGACGAGUGGCGGACGGGUGAGUAAUGCUUGGGAAUCUAGCUUAUGGAGGGGGAUAACUACGGGAAACUGUAGCUAAUACCGCGUAGAAUCGGGAGAUGAAAGUGUGGGACCUUCGGGCCACAUGCCAUAGGAUGAGCCCAAGUGGGAUUAGGUAGUUGGUGAGGUAAAGGCUCACCAAGCCGACGAUCUCUAGCUGGUCUGAGAGGAUGACCAGCCACACUGGGACUGAGACACGGCCCAGACUCCUACGGAAGGCAGCAGUGGGGAAUAUUGCGCAAUGGGGGCAACCCUGACGCAGCCAUGCCGCGUGAAUGAAGAAGGCCUUCGGGUUGUAAAGUUCUUUCGGUAGCGAGGAAGGCAUUUAGUUUAAUAAACUGGAUGAUUGACGUUAACUACAGAAGAAGCACCGGCUAACUCCGUGCCAGCAGCCGCGGUAAUACGGAGGGUGCGAGCGUUAAUCGGAAUAACUGGGCGUAAAGGGGCACGCAGGCGGUGACUUAAGUGAGGUGUGAAAGCCCCGGGCUUAACCUGGGAAUUGCAUUUCAUACUGGGUCGCUAGAGUACUUUAGGGAGGGGUAGAAUUCCACGUGUAGCGGUGAAAUGCGUAGAGAUGUGGAGGAAUACCGAAGGCGAAGGCAGCCCCUUGGGAAUGUACUGACGCUCAUGUGCGAAAGCGUGGGGAGCAAACAGG